rnacentral:rRNA from 1 species
UACGUAGGGUGCAAGCGUUGUCCGGAAUUAUUGGGCGUAAAGAGCUCGUAGGCGGCUUGCCACGUCGACUGUGAAAGCCCGGGGCUUAACUCCGGGUCUGCAUUCGAUACGGGCAGGCUAGAGUUCGGUAGGGGAGAUCGGAAUUCCUGGUGUAGCGGUGAAAUGCGCAGAUAUCAGGAGGAACACCGGUGGCGAAGGCGGAUCUCUGGGCCGAUACUGACGCUGAGGAGCGAAAGCGUGGGGAGCGAACAGG